GAUGUUGACAUUGCUGACUUGGCCAACAUGUAUUGCACAACUAUAAUUGCCCAGAGGGCAGUUAAGACUCAACCACAUUGCUGUGGGUCUGAAACCAUAUGUAGGCCACACCAGAUUGUGGUCACCGCUGGCUUAUCUAGUGUUGGGUCCCCAUUUCUCAUUGCCUUUGAGAUGAAGUGGCAGGCUGCCUUGUUGAACCACUGUAGUCUAUGGAAGACAACAAGGUGCAGGGCUGGAUGAACACAGCAGGCCAAGCAGCAUCAUAGGAGCAGAAAGGCUGACGUUUCGGGCCUAGACCAUGGAAGAUGGGCACAUGCCACAUGUAGGAACACGGAUAUAGUUCCAAAUCGGGAUGCUUUGUUGCUUGGAGAGAUACUUCUGGUAAUGGUGUUCCCUAGCAUCGGCUGCCCUUGAAGUUCUAGUUGGUACAUGUAACGAUGUGGAGGAUACUGUUUAAUGAGCGUUGGCAAGUUGUUAAAGUACAUUCUGUAAAAGGUACAUCCUGCUGCUGCCGUGCAUUGAUAGUGAAGAGACUGAAUGUGGAAGGUGGUUAAUAGGGUAUUAAUCAAGUGAGCUGCUUUUUCUCCUGGAUGGUGUUCAGCUUCUUAAGUGUUGUUGGAGCUGCACUCAUCCAGGCAACUGGAGAAUUUUCCACCACACUCUCAACUUGUACCUUGUAGACAGUGGACAGUCCCUGGGGAGACCAGAGGUAAGUUACUCAUCUGCCACAGAUCACAUGAUUUACAAGUUGGCCAAAGGUCUGGAUACACCUAACAAUUGAUUGGAGAAAGAUAUAGAAUUUUUUUUGUGUUGUUAAGUUGGUGGGCAUGCUUCAAAACAAAGAGUUCAGACGUUCAAUCUCUUAGCUUGGCCAGUAACAAAACAAACAGCUCAGAACUCAUUGUGGCUGGAAGUGCUAAAAACAACUAUCUACCUCUUAACCAAAAAGCAAAGAACUGUGAAUGUCAUAGAUCUGAAACAAAAACAGAAAUUGCUGGCAAAACUCAGCAGGUCUGGCAGCAUCAGUGGAGAGAAAGCAAAAUUAACAUUUUGAGUCUGAUGCUUCUUCGGAACUGUUCAAAAUUUUCAGAACUGUUCAAAAUUCAAAACAAAAAUUUAUUUCAACUCUGUUAACAUUCUCCGAGAGGACAGGUGAAAAUUAUUCAUGUAAUACCUUCUUUGUUCAUUCAAUAUUUCUUUCUUGAUCAUUAAUCAUAUGGUCAAGUUACCAUGGCCCCAAAAUUGGACAUUCUAAAUUGACCCACAGCUGGAGAAAUUAGGCCUGAUAGAAAAUUGGCCAAACUAAAUUAAACAGCACCUUUCAGCUACAGAGAACAAUGGAAGGUCAAAGUGGUUACAAAGGUUUAAGGAGAACCAAUUGCAAUGAGCCCAAGGGUUAUGUAUUAGAGAAGUAUCAAUCAGACGUUUUGGCAUUUUGACUGUCUGAGAAUGUACACUUUACAGCUCUCAGUGUGGCAACAGGGGAGAAUGUUGGCAGGACCCAUUUGAUGAUUUGCUCAUGACACCAUUGGCCAAUAGCCAUAGAACAUUCUGGAGAGUCUGAUGAGAAGGGGGUUAAGAACACACAUACCUGGAUUCCAGACCCUCAAUGAAGACUCAUCGAAGACUCACAAAGAAGAUUUACAGCAAGACUUGUGGCAAAAGACCAAGCUGCAACCUAAGAAGACCUGGGAGAAGAUCUGCCCUGACCUGCAAGGCCCACCUUUAUGGAAGAGAGCUAGCCCUACAUCGGAGAGGAAGGACAUUCCAAUGACCCAGCUCAAACAUGUGGAUCAUUGUGAGUAAUAUCCUCUUUCAGAUGGAUAGAGCUAGAUAGAGAGUAAGUAUGUCGGAAUUUGGGAAAUGAUUUAUUUUGAUUUUGAUUUUAUUGUCACAUGUACCGAAAUACAGUGAAAAGCUUUGUUUAUGAGCAGUACAGGCAGAUCACAGCAAGCAAAGGAUAUACAGAUCAAAAAGACAUACACGUUACAUUGCAGGUUACAUUAUUUGAGGCUAGAGCCCAUUCAACAGUCUGAUAAUGGCCGGAAAGAAGCUGUUCCUGAACUUGCUGGUGUAUGUGUUCAGGCUUCUGUAUCUUCUGCCUGAUCGAAUAAGUUGAAGGAAGUCACUACCAGGGUGUGGUGGGUCUUUGAUGAUGUUGGCCGCCUUUCCGUGGCAUCGAGUCAUAUAAAGAGCAUCCAUGGAAGGAAGGUUGGCUUCUGUGAUGGUUUGGGAUGCGCACAUAAUCUGUAGUUUCUUACAAUCCUGGGUGGAACAGUUACCAUACCAGCCCGUUAUGCACUCGGACAGUAUGCUUUCAGUGGUGCAUCUGUAGAAGUUGGUGAGGGACCUUAUGGACAUACCAAAUUUCCUGAGCUUCCCGAGGAAGAAGAGGCAUUGUUGUGCCUUCUUGACUGUCGCAUUUAUGUGGGAAGUCCAGGAUAUGUUGCUGGUUAUUGUCACUCCUAGGAACUUGAUGCUCUUCACUCUCUCAACCUCAGUUCUGUUGACGUAGAUGGGGGCAUGUUCUCCUCCUUUCUUUCUGAAGUCGAUGAUCAAUUCUUUAGUUCUGCUGAUGUUGAGAGACAGAUUGUUUUAAUUGCACCAUGUCACCAAGCCAUCUAUCUUCCUUCUGUAUUUUGACUUGUCCUUGUUAGAUAUCAGUCCCACUACGGUGGUGUCAUCAGCGAACUUGUAGGUGGCAUUUGUUCGCAAUGUGGCACCACAAUCGUAGGUGUGCAGGGAGUACAGUAGGGGGACUGAGGAUGCAUUCUUGGGGGGCUCUAGUGUUGAAUUUUAUUGUGGAGGAGGUGUUCACAUAAUGUUUUAAGAAGGAGUAUUUUAUUAAUAAAAUCAAUUAUGACCGCAAA